UCCGGUUUGUCACCGGCAGUCACGCAUGAGUCCUCAACUAAAUGCUGGCAACAUGCGACGGGGGUUGCGCUCGUUGCCGGACUUAACCGAACAUCUCACGACACGAGCUGACGACAGCCAUGCACCACCUGUCCACCGACCCCGAAGGGAAACCCCAUCUCUGGGGCGGUCCGGUGAAUGUCAAGCCUUGGUAAGGUUCUUCGCGUUGCAUCGAAUUAAUCCGCAUGCUCCGCCGCUUGUGCGGGCCCCCGUCAAUUUCUUUGAGUUUUAGCCUUGCGGCCGUACUCCCCAGGCGGGGCACUUAAUGCGUUUGCUGCGGCACGGAACUCGUGGAAUGAGCCCCACACCUAGUGCCCAACGUUUACGGCAUGGACUAC
rnacentral:misc_RNA from 1 species